CGACCGGCGCACGGGUGAGUAACGCGUAUGCAACUUACCUAUCAGAGGGGGAUAGCCCGGCGAAAGUCGGAUUAAUACCCCAUGAAACAGGGGUCCCGCAUGGGAAUAUUUGUUAAAGAUUCAUCGCUGAUAGAUAGGCAUGCGUUCCAUUAGGCAGUUGGCGGGGUGACGGCCCACCAAACCGACGAUGGAUAGGGGUUCUGAGAGGAAGGUCCCCCACAUUGGUACUGAGACACGGACCAA
rnacentral:rRNA from 1 species